rnacentral:rRNA from 1 species
UACGUAGGGGGCAAGCGUUGUCCGGAUUUAUUGGGCGUAAAGAGCGUGUAGGCGGCCAGGUAGGUCUGGUGUGAAAACUCGAGGCUCAACCUCGAGAGGUCAUCGGAAACCAUCUGGCUAGAGUCCGGAAGAGGAGAGUGGAAUUCCCGGUGUAGCGGUGAAAUGCGCAGAUAUCGGGAAGAACACCUAUGGCGAAGGCAGCUCUCUGGGACGGUACUGACGCUGAGACGCGAGAGCGUGGGGAGCGAACAGG